CGUGGGGAGCAAACAGGAUUAGAUACCUGGUAGUCACGCUGUAAACGAUGUCGAUUUGGAGGUUGUUCCUUGAGAGUGGCUUCGGGAGCUAACGCGUUAAAUCGACCGCCUGGGGAGUACGGCCGCAAGGUUAAAACUCAAAUGAAUUGACGGGGGCCCGCACAAGCGGUGGAGCAUGUGGUUUAAUUCGAUGCAACGCGAAGAACCUUACCUACUCUUGACAUCCAGAGAAUUUAGCAGAGAUGCUUUAGUGCCUUCGGGAACUCUGAGACAGGUGCUGCAUGGCUGUCGUCAGCUCGUGUUGUGAAAUGUUGGGUUAAGUCCCGCAACGAGGGCAACCCUUAUCCUUUGUUGCCAGCACAUUAUGGUGGGAACUCAAAGGAGACUGCCGGUGAUAAACCGGAGGAAGGUGGGGAUGACGUCAAGUCAUCAUGGCCCUUACGAGUAGGGCUACACACGUGCUACAAUGGUGUAUACAAAGAGAAGCGACCUCGCGAGAGCAAGCGGAACUCAUAAAGUACGUCGUAGUCCGGAUUGGAGUCUGCAACUCGACUCCAUGAAGUCGGAAUCGCUAGUAAUCGUAGAUCAGAAUGCUACGGUGAAUACGUUCCCGGGCCUUGUACACACCGCCCGUCACACCAUGGGAGUGGGUUGCAAAAGAAGUAGGUAGCUUAACCUUCGGGAGGGCGCUUACCACUUUGUGAUUCAUGACUGGGGUGAAGUCGUAACAAGGUAACCA
rnacentral:rRNA from 1 species